UACGUAGGGGGCUAGCGUUGUCCGGAAUCAUUGGGCGUAAAGAGCGUGUAGGCGGUUCGGUAAGUCCGCUGUGAAAGUCCAGGGCUCAACCCUGGAAUGCCGGUGGAAACUGUCGGGCUGGAGUCCGGAAGAGGCGAGUGGAAUUCCUGGUGUAGCGGUGAAAUGCGCAGAUAUCAGGAGGAACACCAAUGGCGAAGGCAGCUCGCUGGGACGGUACUGACGCUGAGACGCGAAAGCGUGGGGAGCAAACAGG
rnacentral:rRNA from 1 species